rnacentral:rRNA from 1 species
CCUACGGGUGGCUGCAGUGGGGAAUAUUGGACAAUGGGGGGAACCCUGAUCCAGCCAUGCCGCGUGUGUGAAGAAGGCCCUCGGGUUGUAAAGCACUUUCAGUGAGGAAGAACGCCUGGUGGUUAAUACCCAUCAGGAAAGACAUCACUCACAGAAGAAGCACCGGCUAACUCCGUGCCAGCAGCCGCGGUAAUACGGAGGGUGCGAGCGUUAAUCGGAAUUACUGGGCGUAAAGCGCGCGUAGGUGGCUUGAUAAGCCGGUUGUGAAAGCCCCGGGCUCAACCUGGGAACGGCAUCCGGAACUGUCAAGCUAGAGUGCAGGAGUGGAAGGUAGAAUUCCCGGUGUAGCGGUGAAAUGCGUAGAGAUCGGGAGGAAUACCAGUGGCGAAGGCGGCCUUCUGGACUGACACUGACACUGAGGUGCGAAAGCGUGGGUAGCAAACAGGAUUAGAUACCCUGGUAGUC